CUAAGGGGGGCAGCAGUGAGGAAUAUUGCACAAUGGGGGGAACCCUGAUGCAGCAACGCCGCGUGGAGGAUGACGCAUUUCGGUGUGUAAACUCCUUUUAUAUGUCAAGAAAAUGACGGUAGCAUAUGAAUAAGCGCCGGCUAACUCCGUGCCAGCAGCCGCGGUAAUACGGAGGGCGCAAGCGUUACUCGGAAUCACUGGGCGUAAAGGACGCGUAGGCGGGUUGAAAAGUCAGGUGUGAAAGCCUACGGCUUAACUGUAGAACUGCACUUGAAACUCUCAAUCUAGAGUAUGGGAGGGGCAGAUGGAAUUAGUGGUGUAGGGGUAAAAUCCGUAGAUAUCACUAGGAAUACCUAAAGCGAAGGCGAUCUGCUGGAACAUUACUGACGCUAAGGCGUGAAAGCGUGGGGAGCAAACAGGAUUAGAUACCCCGGUAGUC
rnacentral:rRNA from 1 species